GAUGAACGCUGGCGGCGUGCCUAAUACAUGCAAGUCGAGCGAACAGACGAGGAGCUUGCUCCUCUGACGUUAGCGGCGGACGGGUGAGUAACACGUGGAUAACCUACCUAUAAGACUGGGAUAACUUCGGGAAACCGGAGCUAAUACCGGAUAAUAUAUUGAACCGCAUGGUUCAAUAGUGAAAUACGGUUUUGCUGUCACUUAUAGAUGUAUCCGCGCCGCAUUAGCUAGUUGGUAAGGUAACGGCUUACCAAGGCAACGAUGCGUAGCCGACCUGAGAGGGUGAUCGGCCACACUGGAACUGAGACACGGUCCAGACUCCUACGGGAGGCAGCAGUAGGGAAUCUUCCGCAAUGGGCGAAAGCCUGACGGAGCAACGCCGCGUGAGUGAUGAAGGUCUUCGGAUCGUAAAACUCUGUUAUUAGGGAAGAACAAAUGUGUAAGUAACUAUGCACGUCUUGACGGUACCUAAUCAGAAAGCCACGGCUAACUACGUG
rnacentral:rRNA from 1 species